GCCGUCGUGGCGCAAUGGUAGCGCGUCGCUUUCCUACGAAAAAAGUAGCAGGCGGAAGUUGCGGGUUCGAUCCCCGUCGUCGGUU
rnacentral:tRNA from 1 species